UCAAGCAGGGGAGCUUUUCGGCUGAGAGUAGGUAAAACCUAGACCCUUAACCUGAUUUGGAUAAUGCCAACGUAGGGAGAAGAUAAGAU
rnacentral:ncRNA from 1 species